CACGCACACACACACACACACACACACACACGGUCAUCAGUAGGUGAAAGAAAGUUUACAGAUGUUCCCUAAACGCCUCACAGUUUACAGAUGUUCCCUAAACGCCUCACAGUUUACAGAGGUUCCCUAAACGCCUCACAGUUUACAGAGGUUCCCUAAACGCCUCACAGUUUACAGAUGUUCCCUAAACGCUUCACAGUUUACAGAUGUUCCCUAAACGCCUCACAGUUUACAGAGGUUCCCUAAACGCCUCACAGUUUACAGAGGUUCCCUAAACGCCUCACAGUUUACAGAGGUUCCCUAAACGCCUCACAGUUUACAGAGGUUCCCUAAACGCCUCACAGUUUACAGAGGUUCCCUAAACGCCUCACAGUUUACAGAUGUUCCCUAAACGCUUCACAGUUUACAGAUGUUCCCUAAACGCCUCACAGUUUACAGAGGUUCCCUAAACGCCUCACAGUUUACAGAGGUUCCCUAAACGCCUCACAGUUUACAGAGGUUUCCUAAACGCCUCACAGUUUACAGAGGUUCCCUAAACGCCUCACAGUUUACAGAGGUUCCCUAAACACCUCACAGUUUACAGAGGUUCCCUAAACGCCUCACAGUUUACAGAGGUUCCCUAAAUGCCUCACGGCC